GAGAAAAACUCGAUCCUACCAUUUCGCGUCUUCCUCUCGCACAAAAUAUGCAGCGACCACCUUGGUCACGAGCACCUCCUCCAUCCUCCACGAGCAGCACCUCCGUCCUUCGCGACCACCUCCUUCAUUCUCUAAAAAAGAAAGAAAAAAUAAGACAGAAGAAGAGGAAAACAGAAACUCGAUCCUGGCAUUUUCGCGUCUCCCUCCCGCACAAAAUACGCAGCAACCACCUCGGUCAGGAGCACUUCCUCCGUCCUCGGCGACCACCACCUCCACGGUUCUCUUCCACCAUUAUCAUCUAUUCUCGCAAACUCCUUUCUCUGUUUAUCUAUUUCAUCUCUCAGUUUUUAUUCACCACUCCAUUUUCUACCAUUAAAGUAUGUAGUCUCGAAGAAUCAGUUAAGGCUUUCACUUGAUCAAACCGUUUUCCCGAAAAGAACCAAACAUUGCGUACAUAGGAGGGGUUGAGGCUGCGUUCGGUAUACUUUUUUCAUGUAAGCAUGGGAGAUUUCCCUCAUUGCAAGCCACAUUUGGAGCUCCAUUCGCUUGCCUGCAGAAGAACUGGGAAAUCAAAAACACUGAAUUGAUAUUUGAAUCUAGGAUGCAAGAUAUUAAGAAGUAUUAUGUUUGACAGAGGUCUCACUCAAGGCUGAUGGUAACUAAUGUUUAAGAAUGCAUGAUGUCUGCUGACUUAAUGAAAUUGAAACUUGAAAAGGAGGAUAUCCCUCUCAAGUAAUUAAAACUAUAUAAAAUGACAUGUAGAGAGAGAGAGAGACACACACACAGAGUAAAAGAUGCUUCAUUAUUUGGCACGCUGUAGGAAUAGCAUAAAUUAUAGAACAAAAAUUUUACCUCUCUAUCAAUGUUUUUGCAUGUGAGAUUGGCUGCACUUCUUUCAUAAAUUCUAGUUAGUUCAACACCAAGACUUGCAAGUACUUACUCGAAAUGACACAAUUAAGUAGCAGGCAAACACAAUAUAAAAAUGAUCAUGUAUUUUUGUGAGCUGCGUUGUAGCAGUAAAAAAGAAAAAAAAAGUGUUUAAAAAAGGUAAAAAGAAAAGAAAAGAAAAGAAAAAGAUAACCUAAUGCAUUAAUUAGAGAUUCCAACGCAUCCUGACUUACAUAAUCUUACCUGCACUUGCAAUUGUUAAUAUGCAUUAAAAGCUACAGUUAUUUCCCAAUCUUUUUAUGCAAACAGUGGUUGAAAUUGAACAACUUGAUCUGUUGGAUUUUUUGACAUGCAAUUGAUUAGAUUUCCCGUUCAAUUUUCGACAACUAUAUAACUACAUAUAUAACCUGUAAAAGAUUUUACUUGUCAUCAAGAGUUACCACCAUGCAUCUUCCUAUAUAUAGAUCAUUAAUUCUAGUUAGGAUGUAUUGAAAAUAUUAAGUUCAUUUAAAUCUGGUCAGUUGAUAAAGCUAAUCAUGUGCUUAUGUGUGGAUUAUUAAUUGGGAGUUGGGUGCAUGGAAGAAUAGGAUUGGGCUUUUGUUGAGAUUCACAGCCCACGGGACAAUUGGGCUUUUUAAUCAAAUCAUAGUAUACCUACCACUAAUUUCUCUUAUUACUUAUUUCUUCUCUUCUUUAUUGUUUAAUUUUUAAUAUAUGGGUUUAAUAAAAAUAUAUGAAUUAAAUACACUAGCAUACUUUAAUAAUUAUUCCGGUAAUGCACAAUCUAAAUAAAGAUGUUUCAAAUUUAAUUAUUGAAACAUCAUUAUUACAACCGUGAAGGUAGGAUUCGGUACAAUUACCUAAACAGGCUCACAUGUCACCAGCAUUAUUAUUAUUAUUCAUAGUUACCAAAAUAAAGGCUAGUGUAAUUUAUAAAAGAUGAUUUUUAAUAUUGUAAAAUUUUCAUUAGAUGGAGAAAGGAAAGGAGCAUGCAUCUCCUAUAACACCGACGACCGCAGAUGCCGUAACAAAUCCACCAACCUAGAUGAUACCAAGACCAUUCUAUCCACUCGGGUCAACGCCUCCUCCUGCUAUUCCAUCAACCAAUCUACCAACCCAGGUGAUACCAAUUUCGCCCUUUUAUCCGAAUUUCUUAAACUAUAUGCAUGGGCACCAUCCACCAUUGGGGUAUUCGUGGUUACCACCACCCUUUGUGGAUCGUCCUGAUACCAACCCAUCUACAUGGACUAGUCAGGGAAACCCACGACCCCCAAGAGAUUCAUCACUUAACCCUUUGAUUGAUUUACACUCCGCAAGUUCAAGUAAUGUGGAUGAAAUUGAAGAUGCCAUGCCUGCCUCUACUCCCUCUGUGCAUGAUAAUGUGCAUACCGAGGGGGCUGUAAUCGUUGAGGAACCGAAAUUGGGAAUGAUGUUUAAUUCUGAAGAGGAUUUACUUGCUUAAAAGAUAUGGGCAACAGUGCGGUUUUGGGGUAAUGACACAAAGGAGCAUAGAUUUGAGGAUGAGAGCCUUAGAUAUGUGACAUUGGGUUGUGCCCAUGGUAAGAAGGCUCAGAAUCGUACCUCAAAUGUCGCGAGGCCACGUCCGACAUCAAAGACUGACUGUAAGGCUAGGAUAAAUGCUACGUUAGAAAAAUGGGUGUUGAAAGUGUCGAGUGUGUACAAUUCCCAUAAUCAUGGCUUAAGUCCCCAAAAGUCGAGAUUCUUUCGCUGCAAUAAAGAAGUGAGCGAAUCUGUUAAAAAAGUGUUAGAUAUAAAUGAUCAGGCUGAGAUUAGAAUGAACAAGAGUUUUGCCUCUCUUGUUCAAGAAUAGGGUGGGUUUGAAAACUUGCCAUUCAAUGAAAAAGAUUGUCGGAAUUAUAUAAACAAGGCACGGCAUCUUCGACUUGGGAAAGGAUGUGCUGGAGCUCUCCGUGAGUAUUUUACUAGGAUGCAAUAUAAGAAUGAUGGAUUCUUUUCAUUAAUAGAUAUGGACGAUGAAGGACGAUUGAGGAAUGUAUUUUGAGCGGAUGCACGAAGUAGGGCAGCCUACAAAUAUUUUGGUGAUGUCGUUACAUUCGAUACGAUAUAUUUGACAAACAGAUAUGGGAUACCGUUUGCACCGUUUGUUGGUGUCAACCACCAUGACCAGUCAAUUCUGUUGGGGGCAGGUUUAAUAUCUAGUGAGGAUACUGAAACGUUUACUUGGUUAUUUCAGACUUGGUUGAACUAUAUGGAUGGUGUAGCUCCAAAGGCUAUUAUCACGGAUGAGGAUAGAGCCAUGAAAAAUGCAAUUGCACUGGUCUUUCUAAAUUGCUGACACCGAUUCUGCUUAUGGCACAUAUUGAAAAAAUUACCUGAAAAGUUAGGUGCACAUGGUGCAUACAAAACUUGGUUGAAAUUUGAGUUGCUCAACUGUGUGUAUGACUCUCAAACAAUAUAGGAGUUUGAGAGUUCUUGGGAUGCGUUAAUUAUGAAGUACAACUUGCAAGAGAAUGCUUGGUUGUAGAGCUUAUAUGCUGAACGUAUGUGUUGGGCUCCAGUAUUCAUGAAAUAUGUUUUCUAGGUGGGAAUGAGUACAACCCAAUGAAACGAAAGCAUGAAUGCUUUUUUUGAUGGGUAUGUUCAUGCCAAGACAAACUUAAAAGAGUUUAUUGAUCAGUUCGAUAAUGCGUUGAGGAAGAAGAUUGAGAAUGAAAAUGCGUCGGACUUCCAAUCAUUCAAUGUCACUAUUCCCGUUGUCUCUCCCUCUCCACUUGAGAAGAUAUUUCAGAAUAUCUACACUUGCAACAAAUUUAGAAAAGUUCAAAAAGAAGUCAUAGGGAUGCUUGCAACUCUUUUCACUCUACACCAGAAGGAUGUUGUAAUUACAACAUACCUUGUAGAAGAUGAAGUGGAUGUUGAUGGUUUCAUCAAGGAGGUGACCCACUCAGUAUACUUUAAUGAGGCAGAGUGUGAGGUGAAGUGUUCAUGUGCCUUGUUUGAGAUGAGAGGCAUAUUGUGUAGACAUGUAUUAGCCAUUAUGAGAGUUAACAAAGUCCGUUCAGUGCCAGAAAAGUACAUACUAGAUCGAUGGCGGAAAGACAUUAAAAGGACAUACACUCUUAUACGAAGUAAUUAUGACAUGGUUGAUCAGAGACCUGAAGUUAGAAGGUAUUCCCGUAUCAUCAAGAAAUGCUACGAAGUAACCACAAAUGCUGCUUCAUGUGAUGAGUAUACUGAGGAUCUGGUAGUUAAGUUAGAUGCAAUGAACAUAGGCUACCGCACCAACAAGCCGCCCUCGAAGGUUGCAGUUACAAGUGCCGAUGGAAUAGAAGGUGGGAGUUCUAAGAAAGUAUUGAGUCCCCUUGUAGUUAAGGGAAAAGGCAGACCGCCAUCUCUUGGGAAAAAAUCUAUGGUUGAGAGGGUGAAACCCAUGACGAAGAAGCAAAGUCAGAAAGGAAAAUGAAAACAGCCGCAUGGAAUAGAAGGCGAAUCCCUCUCCAAUUGUAGGUCACUAUUUCGGCAAAUAGAUGUUGGGACACAACACUUGAACCUCGUUCAGGUUACAUACGGUUUUGUAAUGCCAGGGCAAUUCCCAUUAAUGUGUUUAAAAUGCUAUUUUAAUUCUUCUAUAUUAAAUGAAGAUGGGUGCUAUCUAAUAUUUUGAUUAUGUAUUGUUAGCCGCAUCAAAAUACAUCUGACAUGUUGGACAUGAGUGUCACUGAGUUAGGCUUUGCAGUGAAUGAGACUCAAGAAAGUAUGCAACUUGGGGUGGAUGGAAGCCAGCCGGAUAGCACGCCUGGGACACAACCAUGGCAAUAAGUCAUUUUAUGUGGUUUGUAUCUCGAAUGUUGAUGAAAUCCAAUAUUAUUUAUAAUUUAGCUUGCGAUUGGGGAAAAAUAAAACUUACUAAUGGGGUGUGUGUACAUGCAUGUUAAUCUAGUAGAUUAGAAUAUGUAUACCCGGUUUUAAAGGUAAACUCAAUUUUUAAAUAAUUUCUAUGGCCGGCUAGUGUGGUGGAGUAUUAGCCAAGAUGUUGAGCUGAAGGUAGGCUUCUUUAUGGCUGUUCGGUAUGUUGGGAUUGGGUACUAAUAAAGGAGCUUCCAUUUCUUGCUUUAAAAUCUAGUUUGAUCGUAAUUUAUACUAUUUAUUGAGCGUAUAUAGUUGAUUUGUUGUGCUUUGCUUUCAGUUCGAAAAUGGGUAGCUUCAUGGCAGUUUUGUAUAAAAAUAGGAAGAGUAAGGCUUGAAUGAAGGGGAUUCGAGCAGCUCGGUGUAUAGUUAUAGGGUCAUUAUGUAAAGCUAUUUGCUUAGUGGAGCCACUCUUGCAAUGCCCAACUUUAGAUGUACUAUUUAUUUUUUGAUGGAUGGUGUUGAGAAGAUGUAAUUAUUUUUUGAUGGGUGGUGAAAGUGAGCUGUUGUAAUUAUUUAUGGGUGGUGAAAGUGAGUUGUUGUAAUUCUUUUUUGGUGGGUGCUGAAAGUGAGGGGCUGAUAUGAUUUUUUGAUUGCUUCCUACUUUUUUAGCAAAGCUGGGAAGGACCAUGUAUUUUUGGAAGUGUUAAUGUUGCAUAAUAUAUGAUAUUUGAUUGCUUCUAUUG